rnacentral:ncRNA from 2 species
UCACGAGGCUAGGGGUGCCCGCCGAUGGGGCUUGGGCUGAGAAACACCCUUGGAACCUGAACCGGAUCAUACCGGCGGAGGGAAGCUUCGGAUGGGCGUC